AGAGUGAACGCUGGCGGCAGGCCUAACACAUGCAAGUCGAACGGCAGCACAGGGGAGCUUGCUCCCUGGGUGGCGAGUGGCGGACGGGUGAGGAAUGCGUCGGAAUCUGCCUUUUCGUGGGGGAUAACGUAGGGAACUUACGCUAAUACCGCAUGCGACCCUGGACCGGGAGGUUCAGGGUGAAAGCGGGGGACCUUCGGGCCUCGCGCGGAAAGAUGAGCCGACGCCGGAUUAGCUAGUUGGCGGGGUAACGGCCCACCAAGGCGACGAUCCGUAGCUGGUCUGAGAGGAUGAUCAGCCACACUGGAACUGAGACACGGUCCAGACUCCUACGGGAGGCAGCAGUGGGGAAUAGUUGGACAAUGGGCGCAAGCCUGAUCCAGCCAUGCCGCGUGAGUGAAGAAGGCCUUCGGGUGUAAAGCUCGUUUUUGUUAGGAAAGUAAAGCUUUACGGUUAAUAACCGGGUAGUUCUGACGUACCCAAAGAAUAAGCACCGGCUAACUUCGUGCCAGCAGCCG
rnacentral:rRNA from 1 species